GCGCAUCCCGCGCUUUGGGAGAGUAGGUCCUGAGGCCGGUUGGAACUCCUAGGUGUGGUUGGGUGCCCAACUCCGAGGAAUAUUUUGUUUUCAAGCGUUGAAAGGGGAAGAGAGGAGGACCAUUUACCACAUUUAGGAACGCUACCCUCAGACCUGCGCAAGGGGGAGGAUUGAGGCUCCAGCUUCUUUGUGGGGAGGCGCUGAAUAGAGGAGUUGACUCGCUUAGGGCCCUUCCUGUCCGAAAGUCUGUGUGAUUUAUCCUUCCUGCACCCUCACUCACGGAGGGCGGGCUGCCAUUGCCCCCUGCCUGCAACACAAGCAAGAGGAAGGAAGAAAGGAAUCAGAAACUGCGAGUGGAAAAACUACCUCGUUUUAGAAUUUAUUCGAUGUAUAUUUAUGAAGGGCCUGCUAAAUGCCAGGCACUUUUGCUAGGCGUUGCCAUAGGGAUAUUGAAACAGACCUAGAGAAGCUUGGUUAAAAAAAAAAAAAAAAAAAAAAAUCAAGCCUCCUGACUCCACGCUCAGCAUUUCUUCCCUCAAGUCUUUGAAUAUGCAGGACUCAAGGGGCUGUGAGUUUAAAUCCUGGAAGGAUUUCUCAGGACUUUAUUGAGAUAUGUAAGCUGAAAAAACACUAUGGGCUAAGGAACACAAGCUAUCAAGAAAAAAAAGCCUUCCCUUUUCUUCCUAGCAAGAGUACAGGAUCAUAAUCUAACACUCCUAGCGGGACCUGGGGCAGCACUGAGUAACCAUACUGAUAUUUCUGCAGGAAAGCAUAUGAAUAUUCAUACUAGUUGGGUAAUUUAUGAAUAUUCAUACUAAAACAAAUAGCUUCACUUUAUAUUUUUGCCGCCAAAUUUCUUGGUAAAAAGGAAGUCCUGUCUUCACAGUUUUGUGAAUUUUCCAACAAGGGACUGUGGAGCUGAAUGAUAAUAGCCAGCAUUUAUUGGGAAUUAAAAUGUGUUAACAUUUACUGAGUAAAAAAAGAAAAAAAAAACAUUUAUUGAGUGCCUAAUAUGUGCCAAGGGCUUUAUAUACUUUGUCUUCUUUAUUCCUUUCAACAAACUUGUGAAGUGAGUAUUGUUAUUAGUUCCUUCUGAUAGGUGGCAUAUUAUUACAGCUUGGAACUCUCUCACACUAUCACAUUGCACCUUGUACUAAUUAUGGUAUAUAAAGGUACAGCUAAUUUGAUACCUGUUGCUUCCUACUCCCCACCCCUAUUUCUUGGGACUUUAGAUCAUGUGUUAUCUAUGAAUCUAGCAGGGGCCCUGUCAUAAACAUAGGUACUUAACAGGAAGCAAAAUGAAUUGAUAUGCUAUACAGAUUUCGUGUUUUGUUGGUAUAGUGUUUUACCUCUCUAUAAUAAAAAUGCCCAAAUAUCUGUGAAAGGAUUCUCAAGAAACUGGCAAUAGUGGUUGCCGCUUGAUGAUUUGGUUGCAACAUACAUAUGUACACACACAUAUUCACACACUUGUACCUUUUAUAUGUGCUGUGCAUCUAUUGUCUAUUCAAAGUAUACAUUUCAUUUGUUUUUCAACGAUUCCAGAAUUUUUCUUGGUUAUUACUUAGAUGAUCAAAAGUCAACUCACAGGGUAACCUCAACCAAAGAAAAACACUACUCCACACCGUCUCCAGGGCUACAGACUGCAGAGGCCCAUGGUGGUUUGGUUACUCAUCUGUCCAGUUACUGCAUGACAUUCUCUGGGAUGUAAGCAUGGAGUAACCUUCAUCUCCAGGACUUGACAGUCCGUGAUUAUUGAAGAAAUGGUGAACAGAAUGGAAAUUAAGACAUGGUAGCCAGUUGCCCUUCCCCUUAUCAUGGAUCACUUCCUUUUCCUCAGAAAUGCGUUUUCUUUCCAAAGGGCUGGCCAGCCUUGUACAAAGACUCAUCAACUCAAGGCCUGAAGGGCUGCAACUGCUUAAAGGACCAGCUCACUAACUCCCAAGGGAACUCCAGAAGGCCUAUAAACUGGGAAGAAGAAGGACCAGGGAGAGGCUAGCAGGACUUUGUGAACUGGCAUUGCUUGGUCCAGUGCUACUUUUUUCAAGGCAAUACCUGGCGCUUUUCCCUGGCAGCUUGGCCAGAGGGCAAGAGUGCUUUCUGGAGCCAGUCCCAUGGCCUCUGGGGAUAGAUGACACAACCAAGCAGUCUCCGUGGGAGAACUGGGAGAUGGGAACUUGGAUCCAAGCCUCUCUCCUCCCCAACACACUGGACUGCACAGAGCCAUCUCUUAGUGCAGCAGUUUGGUAGCACCUUACUUAUGGCAACCUGGCAAACACUCUUCCCCAGGACAGAGGCCAGCAAGUACCCUGGAGUUUAGGUCACUGCUGUGCCUCAACCUUCUCUAAAUCGAUACGUCGUGAAGUUGGUCCUUCCCUAAGGUCCUGUGUCCCACUGCUGUCUGGAGUGCCUCUCCUCCCCAGUGCCUAGCCUUUUGUCUUGGGGUGCCAGGAACAGAUGAAGAACUCCCACCCAGGUUGUAAAUUGGGGACUGAACAGAAAAAUCAGCUUGGACUGGGUAUCUUGAGACUUCUGAUUAUAGGUAAUAAUAGCUAAAUUAAAAUUUUUAAAGAAAAUAUGUAUUGUUAUUACAUAUAUCAAUACAUCUUUAUAUUACAUUUAUUAAUACUGUACAUGUAUAUUAAAAAUCUGUACAUGUAUAUAUUACAUGUAUUAUCAUUUGCAUAUGUGAAUGAGUGAUGUUGCUCAGUUGUGUCCAGUUUUGUGACCCCAUUGACUGUAGCCUUCCAGGGUUGCCAUUUCCUUCUGCAAAAGGUGAUAUUUUUGACAUCUUAAUAAAGGUCUUUGUAGAUUC